AUGGAAGCCCCAGCUCAGCUUCUCUGCCUCCUGUUACUCUGGCUCCCAGAUACCACCGGAGAAAUCGUGAUGACCCAGUCUCCAGCCUUGCUGUCUUUGUCACCAGGUGAAAGAGCCACGCUCACCUGCAGGGCCAGUCAGACUGUUAGUAGCUACUUAGCCUGGUACCAGCAGAAACCUGGACAGGCUCCCAAGCUCCUCAUCUAUGGUGCAACCACAAGGGCCAGCGGCGUUCCAGCCAGAUUCAGUGGCAGUGGGUCUGGGACAGACUUUACUCUCACCAUCAGCAGUCUGGAGCGCGAAGAUUUUGCAAUUUACUAUUGUCAGCAAUAUAACAGUGGGUAUUCACAGUGA